UUAUGAUAAUGUGAAAUAUUAACCCAUCUGUUAUUAACCUUUCUCCAAGGGGCGUGUCUAUGACAUGCGCCUAUUUGCUGUCAUCGCGAGACUGCAGUCUCUCCACCACAACUUCCUCCUGCAAAGCGCCAUUUUCGGCGUCGUUACGGGACUACAGCAUGCUGUUGUCAAACAGAUAAUAAGACUAGUAUUUAACGUUGUAAGACCUAUUUUUCAGCGUUCAUUAAAAGAUGGGACGAAAGAAGAAGAAGCAGAUGAAGCCAUGGUGCUGGUACUGUAAUCGAGACUUUGAUGAUGAAAAGAUCCUCAUUCAGCAUCAGAAGGCAAAGCAUUUUAAAUGCCAUAUUUGCCACAAGAAGUUGUACACAGGCCCAGGCUUGGCUAUCCAUUGCAUGCAGGUACACAAAGAGACGAUUGACAGUGUACCCAAUGCAAUUCCUGGAAGAACAGACAUUGAGCUGGAGAUCUACGGUAUGGAGGGUAUUCCAGAGAAAGACAUGCAGGAAAGAAGACGAACGUUAGAACAGAAGUCACAAGAGAGUCAAAAGAAGAAGUCUAACAAUCAGGAUGAUUCGGAUGAGGACGACGAUGAUGAUGAUGAAGCAGGACCAUCAGUUCAGCAGGUUUCUGCUGUCCAGCCCCAGGCAGGCUACGCUGCGCCAAUGGCCCAGCUUGGGAUGCCUCCUGUGGCUGGCGCACCUGGGAUGCACCCUGGAGGAUAUCAAGGAAUGCCUCCCAUGAUGCCGGGCGUUCCUCCAAUGAUGCACGGCAUGCCCCCUGCCAUGCACGGCAUGCCACCAGGCAUGAUGCCAAUGGGUGGAAUGAUGCCUCCCAUGAUGCCAGGGAUGCCCGGUAUGCCCCACGGAAUGCCACCUCACAUGGCUCCUAGGCCAGGCAUGCCCCAUAUGGCCCCAUCCGCCGCAGCAGGAGCGAUACCCAGUCGACCAGCAGUACCAGUGGCUCAGCCCGCCGUCACCAAACCUCUCUUCCCCAGUGCAGCACAGAUGGGCGCUGGUGUUCACAGCAACACAGCAGCUGUUUCCUCUCCGCCUGCAGACCUUCAGUCUGCCUCCUCUCAGCCUCCCUUUCCUAACACGCCACAAGCCCAGCAGAGCACUUCAGGAGCCACAGCUUCAAUCUCCCACAGUACAGCCGCCUCCUCUGACCCUCCCAAAGCAACAUUCCCUGCCUACACCCAGCCCUCUGUCUCUUCUUGCUCUUCCACUUCUUCUUCUUCUAACCCCUCUAGCAGCACUGUGGCCAAACCCCCAGCCACAGUGCCCACCAAGCCUGCCACCCUCACCACCACGAGUGCAACUAGUAAGUUGAUCCAUCCUGAUGAGGAUAUCUCACUGGAAGAGAUGAGGGCCCUCUUGCCCCGUUACCAGCGUCUUACACCCAGGCCGGGUCAGGCCCACGUGGCUGCUCCCCCAGUGGCGCCUGUGGGCAGCAUAAUGCCCCCACAGCAAGGCAUGCCACCACAGCAGCCUGGCAUGAGGCAUCCCAUGCAUGGUCAGUAUGGUGCGCCUCCUCAGGGCAUGCCAAGUUACAUGCCUGGAGGGAUGCCUCCAUAUGGGCAGGGUCCUCCUAUGGUGCCCUCUUACCAGGGAGGCCCUCCCAUGGGCAUGAGGCCGCCCGCCAUGUCUCCGGCUGGACGCUACUGAAGCAGCAAAGCAGCCACCACAUUAGCUGCUGGAGUUACAUGAACGUACCAACUCCUUACAAAGCCCAUCCAUAUCAGCCUUAAAACCCACUCAGCUGGCAUGAAAGGUCAGUUAAACCCAACUCCAGAGCCACAGAACAAACUGUUUUCAAAGGCUGAGUGGUAGUCCUCUAGAUAGGCAACUGAUCUUAAUGUGUAAAAUGGGAGCCCCUUUAAAAUGAAGCAAUGCCUACGUGACCGCAUGACCGGUUAUGGCCUCAGUGUGAAUAGGAUUUUGUUUGUUGUAAUCACAGAAUUUUAAAAUGAAUUUAUCCAUUAAAAAUUAACUGCAACAUUUUCUACUACUGCUACUUCCAGAUAUCGUUCUUGUUAGUCUGAAUAAACCACAGAACAUAGUUUACACUUUUUAUAGGGACUAUUUCUUUGAACAGAAACUGAUAUCUCAAAACGUAGACCAAUCAAACCAACAUUAGCAUGGCUAGAUGCCACUAGAGAUAAGUGAGAUUUUUUUUCUUAAUUUGGGUGAACUAUUAGUAAAAGCUCAGUUGUUGGUAGCAACAUGUACUUAAGUGUUAAAAGUAAAUGUAUUAAUUAUUGAUGAGCUGUUUACCACUAGUAUGUAAGGAAAAUGUUUCUUUGACAUUAAAGUUUAAAUGUAUUACAUUUUAGAUAAAUGUGUUUUUUGACCAGGUGUCAUGACCAGUCAAAAACCCCAUUAAGUCUUUAUCGCUGGCCCCUUUUAAAUUAGUGUUUGCAGACUCUUGUUUUUGGAUCAGGUGUAUUUGUAUUUUAAGGUGCUGUACUUGAAA